GAUGAACGCUAGCUACAGGCUUAACACAUGCAAGUCGCGGGGCAGCAUGGGGGUUGCUUGCAAUCCCCGAUGGCGACCGGCGCACGGGUGAGUAACGCGUAUCCAACCUGCCCUUCACCACGGGAUAACCCGGCGAAAGUCGGACUAAUACCGUAUGUUGUCCAUUGACGGCAUCCGAUUUGGACGAAAGGCUUGGCGGGGGGGGAUGGGGAUGCGUCCGAUUAGCCAGACGGCGGGGUAACGGGCCACCGUGGCUACGAUCGGUAGGGGUUCUGAGAGGAAGGUCCCCCACACUGGAACUGAGACACGGUCCAGACUCCUACGGGAGGCAGCAGUGAGGAAUAUUGGUCAAUGGGCGUAAGCCUGAACCAGCCAAGUAGCGUGCAGGAUGACGGCCCUAUGGGUUGUAAACUGCUUUUAUGCGGGGAUAAAGUGGCCCACGUGUGGGCUUUUGCAGGUACCGCAUGAAUAAGGACCGGCUAAUUCCGUG
rnacentral:rRNA from 1 species